rnacentral:rRNA from 1 species
AACGAACGCUGGCGGCAGGCUUAACACAUGCAAGUCGAACGCCCCGCAAGGGGAGUGGCAGACGGGUGAGCAACGCGUGGGAAUCUACCCAGUUCUACGGAACAACAGAGGGAAACUUCUGCUAAUACCGUAUACGCCCUAAGGGGGAAAGAUUUAUCGGAAUUGGAUGAGCCCGCGUAAGAUUAGCUAGUUGGUGAGGUAAUGGCUCACCAAGGCGACGAUCUUUAGCUGGUCUGAGAGGAUGAUCAGCCACACUGGGACUGAGACACGGCCCAGACUCCUACGGGAGGCAGCAGUGGGGAAUAUUGCGCAAUGGGCGAAAGCCUGACGCAGCAACGCCGCGUGAGGGAUGACGGCCUUAGGGUUGUAAAGCUCUUUUAGUGGGGAAGAUAGUGACGGUACCCGGAGAAGAAGCCCCGGCUAACUUCGUGCCAGCAGCCGCCGUAAAAC